rnacentral:rRNA from 1 species
UGGCGGACGGGUGAGUAAUGUCUGGGAAACUGCCCGAUGGAGGGGGAUAACUACUGGAAACGGUAGCUAAUACCGCACAACGUCGCAAGACCAAAGAGGGGGACCUUCGGGCCUCUUGCCAUCGGAUGUGCCCAGAUGGGAUUAGCUAGUAGGUGGGGUAACGGCUCACCUAGGCGACGAUCCCUAGCUGGUCUGAGAGGAUGACCAGCCACACUGGAACUGAGACACGGUCCAG